rnacentral:rRNA from 1 species
GGGUUGUGAGGUUAAGCGACUAAGCGUAGACGGUGGAUGCCCUGGCAGUCAGAGGCGAUGAAGGACGUGCUAAUCUGCGCUAAGCGCCGGUAAGGUGAUAUGAAACGUUAUAAC